CCUACGGGAGGCAGCAGUGGGGAAUAUUGGGCAAUGGGCGCAAGCCUGACCCAGCAACGCCGCGUGAAGGAAGAAGGCUUUCGGGUUGUAAACUUCUUUUCUCAGGGACGAAGCAAGUGACGGUACCUGAGGAAUAAGCCACGGCUAACUACGUGCCAGGAGCCGCGGUCAUACGUAGGUGGCAAGCGUUAUCCGGAUUUACUGGGUGUAAAGGGCGUGUAGGCGGGAAAGCAAGUCAGAUGUGAAAACCAUGGGCUCAACCUGUGGCCUGCAGUUGAAACUGUUUUUCUUGAGUACUGGAGAGGCAGACGGAAUUCCUAGUGUAGUGGUGAAAUGCGGAGAUAUUAGGAGGAACACCAGUGGCGAAGGCGGUCUGCUGGACAGCAACUGACGCUGAGGCGCGAAAGCGUGGGGAGCAAACAGGAUUAGAUACCCGUGUAGUC
rnacentral:rRNA from 1 species